rnacentral:rRNA from 1 species
UGGGGAAUAUUUCACAAUGGGCGCAAGCCUGAUGCAGCCAUGCCGCGUGUAUGAAGAAGGCCUUCGGGUUGUAAAGUACUUUCAGCGGGGAGGAAGGGAGUAAAGUUAAUACCUUUGCUCAUUGACGUUACCCGCAGAAGAAGCACCGGCUAACUCCGUGCCAGCAGCCGCGGUAAUACGGAGGGUGCAAGCGUUAAUCGGAAUUACUGGGCGUAAAGCGCACGCAGGCGGUUUGUUAAGUCAGAUGUGAAAUCCUCGGGCUCAACCUGGGAACUGCAUCUGAUACUGGCAAGCUUGAGUCUCGUAGAGGGGGGUAGAAUUCCAGGUGUAGCGGUGAAAUGCGUAGAGAUCUGGAGGAAUACCGGUGGCGAAGGCGGCCCCCUGGACGAAGACUGACGCUCAGGUGCGAAAGCGUGGGGAGCAAACAGG